UACGUAGGGUCCGAGCGUUGUCCGGAAUUAUUGGGCGUAAAGAGCUCGUAGGCGGUUUGUCGCGUCUGCUGUGAAAUCCCGAGGCUCAACCUCGGGUCUGCAGUGGGUACGGGCAGACUGGAGUGCGGUAGGGGAGAAUGGAAUUCCUGGUGUAGCGGUGAAAUGCGUAGAUAUCAAGAGGAACACCUGCGGCGAAGGCGGGUUGCUGGGCCGACACUGACGCUGAUGCGCGAAAGCUAGGGGAGCGAACGGG
rnacentral:rRNA from 1 species